UCAAUCCCAUGUAAAUUUUCUGCACUUGAAUUUGUUUGCUCCUCUUAAGAGCAACCCCUGCCCCAUGUGCUUAACCACAAACCAACACUUCCUGCCUUAACUUCCCUGUUAGUACAAUAUUUGAUGAAGGUUAAGUUUCAAGAACCCCCUCCCCUACCAGUUUUCAGCUCCCCACCUCCUACUCUCCACAGCCACCUAUCCCAGGCGUCUCUGCAUUUAAAAGUUCUGCCCACCCAUCCCUCCCCAGAUACAUUUCUGACUUAGUCUUAGAGCAUCUUCCUAUUAUGAUACUCCUCUCCCCCUAUUGCAAGAACCCCCUUCAUAUGAACAUAGUAACAUCCUUCAUAGUAACAUCCAUUGCAUUUUUUUUCUUUCACAGGGAUGACGCUGUAACUCUGACAGAAUGUCAGAUGCCCCCAGGACCUUGCUUUCUUCACCCAGGCGUCAAUGCCAUCUGAUCAGAUGCUGGCUCCUUUCCUGGCUGGGGAAGUUGGGAUCCACAGUGGUGGUUUUAUGUUACUCUGAUGCUUCCCGAAGAGCCCUUGCAAAUCAGCUACCGACUGAGUGCUCUGUCUUCAACAAAAAAGGAUUAUCUUAGAGACCCGUGGAAGCAGACUAUGCCAGCCAGGUACUCUUGGGUAAGGCUUCUGAUGGCACUGCUUAAAUAACUUUGGGACCACCCUGGUAGACUAAGUCAGGAUUUCUAGAACUCUAGGGGAGAAUAUAGAUUUAUGGACUAUUAAUCCAAGAUCAAAUGGAACAAGAAUUAUUACAUAGGACUGAAUGAACUGAUCAUUCAUGAUUAUGGGCUUUGUUUGGAACAGUGCUGAUGCUCUCGUGUUCUAUUUUCUGGAUGUAAGGAUGCACUUUCUCUCUUCUCUCAAGCUAUCUAGCACUCACAACAAUUUAGUAGACUGUGCUCUUGUGAAACACAAAGGAAACAUUCCUCUUCUCUGCCCUGCCUCACCCUUCCAAAUUCUGGGAAGUCUCGUGGAGUAUUCCUGUUUUCGUGGCACUGUAGUUAUUUGCAUAGAUUCAGUAAGAGCCUGUCCACCUUGUUAAUAGGACAUAACUGGAAGCAUUGGUUAAUCAAGGCUGGCUCUGCCUAUAAUGUCACAGUUGAGAAUGACGCUCGUUUCGUCAGAUGUGACCAGAUGCUUUUCAGCAAUUAAGGUUGACAUGAUGGGCCAAUGCUUACAAAGUCCGUCUUGGGAAAACUGGCCUGGCAACCGGCUUUAUAGGGUUCCCAGCCUUAUAGGUGAGCAAGGAAGGUCACUUCCUGGCAGGCUCAGGAAUCCUAGGCUAUUUUGAGGACCUCAGGAAGAGAGGAAUGCCCACCAAAUCACUAGGUACUACAGGUGGAAAAUGAUGGUGAAGGUUUGGCUUGGCUUCCUAGCCUCAAGAGGCUCUGAAAAGUCCAAUCUGAGAUUCUUUCUGAAAGCAUCCAGAGAAGCCAGUAUAAGACCUACGUGGUACCACGUCGUUCUUGCUGCAUCUAUGUAAAUAACCAGGCCACCUCCAGUGAGACCAGCCUUAUUUUGUGACCAAGAGUCAUCUUUCUUUGAGAUUGUCUUUGAUCAAGAGGGGAAAGGGACUGUAGAGAGCCUUUGGUGUUUCAAUGGGAAACUAUAGUAUGCUCUUUUGGAUUACCGGAUUCUGACCCUAUUCAUUGCCUUUGAGCUAUUUUGCACCUCUGUAAACUGCAGGUAGCUGAUUGAUAUGCAAACUCUAUCUCGUCUUAUAGACACUUAAUUAGCUUCUUUUCCCACUGUAGAUAAACUAGUGGUGAUACCUACUUAUAAAUCAGAUUUGAAUCUUUUACUUUAGAGAGAUUGUCAGCCCUUACCAAAUUUUCAAUUCUUGCAGAUUCCUUCAAUACCUGGCUAUAACUUUUCAAACUAACCUGUACAACUUUUCUCCCUUUUUCCUGACUUCAAGUCACUGAGAACCAAAACAUGAUUUCCCAGAUCCUUAUUCGGACUCUAGGUUGCUUUGUCACUGGCCUUUUCCCCCAGGAUCUGAAGAAACACUGCAGCAGUCCAGGCGUGAACCUGGUUGCUCUCUGGACAAGCUGCUGUCUGGGUCACUAAGAAAGUCUGGUGAAAUGCUCAGGUCAUGUGUCCCCUGAUAAGGGAGAUAACCCGAGCUCUGAGUAGCAUAAUUAAGAUCACGAUACGACUCAGGGAGCAGUGCUGCACAAUGAAACGAUUUCAUCCACUGACCUCCUGAGUUUCACUAGAUUGGAUACUCUUAGGGUUUGACUUCUGGCUCUUUAAUACAUUCCUUUGUGCUAACAUUUAUCUUUUUUUUAAUUUUAGGCAUCCCAUUUAAGAACACUGAAACAAUUGACCUCUGCCUGCACUCCAAACAGAUGAUUCAAUUGGUCUUCUAGGGUCAUCACUGAGAAUAUGGUGGCCCUGAGGUCUAUCUCACUCAGCCAUCCGCUGUUUGAGUUAUUCCUUAUCCUUGAAUUGUCCAUGAAGAGUCUCUCUGAGCCCACCUUGAACAAAGAGAGGGACUGACAAGGCUGAGGCAACUUUAUGCUUCAUAUAAGUUUAGGCUGCUUUGCUGAGAACCACUAGGUCCCAACUCUGCAAACUUUCUGCACUUUUGCUUGUUUACUUCAACUGAGACCAGAAUCCCAAGUCCUUGGGCCCGAGGACACAACUUUCCUGCCUCAACUUUUCUACUAGUACAACACUGGAUGCAGUUCAUUAUGUUUCAAGGCACCUUCCGCACACCAGCUGUUAGCAUGGCGUCCUUCUGCUUUGCACAGGCACCUAUCCCAGGGUCUCUGCUUACAGAAACUUUGCUUGUCCCCCCCGCUCCCCCCCCCCCCCCCCCCCACCUGCCUGACACUGCUCUGGCUCAGGCUUUGAGCAUCUCUCUGCAAUAGUCUCAUUCAAUAAUACCUCUCCUUACUCGGGUCCAGACUUAACUUUUUUUUUUUUUCUUGACAAUUUCUUCGGCAAAAGAUAUCAUUUAGGAUUUGAUUUUUGGAAAGUAAAAUACAAAAAGUAGUCAGGAAAUUUGAACACUUGAUUAAAUAGGACAGUGGAUUACUGAGAAAUAAUAGUUGGUUACCUAAUUAGCCAAAAUGAAGAUAUAAAUUUAAAAGUAGGCAUAGAAGGGACGUGACUAUAAAGAACUCCAGUUCUUUUCAAGUGAAAAGACUUUGUUCUCUCGAGUAAUUGAAGAUAUGAUAAAGUCAACACAAAGUAUAGGAAAUGAGUCUAAUAAGACCCUGAAUAGUUGUUUUCUAGGCAGAUUAUUCUAAAGGUAAAGAAAAAUAUUUUUUACAAGCACUUAUUAAGAAAACACCAGUAAUCCAAGGAAAAAAAAUGUCAUUUUAAUAGAAAGAAAACCAAAUGCUAGUUUUGAAACAGCAUAUUUGGUACUAACACUCUUAUUAAAAAUCUUAUAUUUAAAUUAAAAAAAAAGAAAUGGAAAAAAAGAUUCAUAAAAACAAUCUUAUAAAUAAGCCCAUCAGCCUUAGCCAGCUUUGACUCUAAGAAAUACAAUUCCUUUUCCAUGAACCAUCUACAACUUUCUCUAUCCAGACAAGUUUGUCAUACACUUGUCUCUCAUUUGGGAAGCAGUUAUUUUACUUUGGAACAAAGCUACUCUUGUUUUUCUUAACGAAAUACCCCCUGCACACUUCAUGUGCAAAGUUGCUCCUCUCUGCUACUAUCACUCCUGUUAGAGUCUCAUUCACAUAUAUUGAUUCUAAGUUUUCACUACAGCCACUUCUACUGCAUAUAGAAAACCAGGAGACGGUGUAAGAGAAGAGUUAUUCCCAGGGAAUGUGUUAAAGCCGCGAGGCAGAUCUUAUUAGAACUACUGCAGUAGAGGAGAGAGACUUUGGUAUCCCAUUCCCAUGCAGCACAGACAGCUGGAGAUCUCAGCCAAGGGGCCAGGGAGGGGGUGAGUGGAUAGGAAAUUACUAAGAAGAACUUGGUUAGAUACCAAAGUAGGGGGAUUCCUGCUAAACUGGCUGAACAGGAUUCUUACUAAAAGCAGGUGCCAAGGACUUAGAUAUCUAGGGCAGGGUAUGAGGAGCUUGAUCAGAUAUCAAGGAUGAUCCCAUAUAAAGGGGGGCAAGUGUCAAUUAACUAGCUUAGGAUUCAUUGCUAAAGUGGGGGCUCAGCAGGCCAAGGUCGAGCCUAGUCUAGAAGAAGGCUCACAGGAGCCUAACUAAAGUUUGGACAAGGAAAGAGUAUCUGCUAGUAAAUAACUGUAAACUGUCUUUCAUAUACCAGUAUUUUCUAGCAGACUAGCAAAGUUUAUAAAUAUACAUCUCAACAUCUCAUAAUUUUUAUAGUCAUAAGCGUUCCUUAUAGGUACAGCUUCUCAAUGUGGCAAAAAUGAACAUGUGCAUUAACAGACCCAAAUAGAUAGCCUCUCUGUAUUAUAUAAAAGUAAAAGUCCAAAAGUAUAUAAAAUGAAAUUGUAUUCAGCAAUUAAUGCGUCAAUUUUUUCUCUUACUUAGAUAGGAUUUAGGUGUCUAAUGAAUAUUCAUAAAUUAAGUCAAUUUAGCAUCAGUCCAAGGUUUUAAGCUACCAAUUCAUUUUGGACACUGUCUUUAAGCUGACAUACUGCAAAAUAUAAUUACUUUGAAAUAAAGUUUGUCCAAAUAAUGACUUAAUUUGACUAAUACAAAUGUACAUUUUUAUAAUCUUAAAAUAUAGUAACUGAAAUGAUAGUGUAUUAAAUCAGCCAAACUUUAUAAAUUGAGGAAAAACAUGCUUGCAUAAAAUUAAAAUAUAUGUUUCUAUUACAUUUAAUGCUGACAACUCAGAAGAUAUAGCUGUUUUUAUUAAACCAAUAAUAUUAAAUUAGUCUCAUUUGCUAGAGUUACCUAAAUUAUGUAAACUUGAAUUCUUAGAACAUUUGAAUUACUGCCUAUAAGAAUGUAUUUUGAGGACAUUGAAAGUAUUAGAAAUUUAAUUUUUUCAAUAUCUGGGAAUUUUUAGGAAUAGUCCUUUAUUUGUAUAUGCCUUUAGCUAACUCUAAGUCAAUUAGAAUAAAACUCUUUAACAAUUUUGUUAUAAUCUAAUUUAGUAAUACCAUCUGGAAGUAGGAAAAUAUUACAUAUCUAUAGACACAUAAACAUACAUAAAAACCUAGAAAACUUAUAGCUUCUAUUCCAAAAUUUUAGCCCAUACAUCAGGGGUAAACCUAAAAAUACAAAACUCAUUUUUCAUAUAAAAAGAGCUCUUCUCUAAUGGGUACAAAUUCUUAGUUGGUUUGAGUUCAAAAUUGGGGAAAAAUGAACAAACAAACAGAAAAGAGUAACAAACAUGAUUUUCUGUCAUCUUUCAUUCAAAAGAGAAAAAUAUCUAUAAGCCAUUUAAUUCACUUACAGAGAUAGCCAAAUUAUCUAACUACAAAACAAAACAAAACAAAACAAAAAAAUCCAUCACCAGAAAUCAACCAAAGACUCAAAAAAAAAAAAAAAAAUCAAAAUCAAAUUCUUACCAUGCUUCCAACAGACAAGAGUCUGGACAUAGGACCAGGAUCAGGACUCACCUUUAGUCCCCUGGGUUGCCAGCCAGGAAUGGAGCACAAAAGGCUCCAGAUGGCCUUAUUACCUGGCUGGAGCAGAUGGGAAUCUGGAGGCAAGGUGCCAUCCUGAGGCAAACUGUCAAAGACAAAAACCAGACAAGUUAGGAGACCAAAAUGAGGGAGACUAUCACAA